CCAAAAGAGUUGGUCAAUGCGAUUACUCCCAAGUUGGAAUAUCGGAAAACCGAUGAAGA
rnacentral:ncRNA from 1 species